AAUUCUCAACCUAUCUGGCUUUUACAAGUCAAGUUAGGCUUGGAUUUUGGAGGUUGCUGGCUUCUCAGAAUUCAGCUCUUCUCAAAUUUAUUAGCAAAGUCCUUGCUGACCAUCUUUGGUAUGAUAAUUAUCUAUACCAUCGAGAAUUGGCUUUCCAUCUCGGAACGGUUUUGCUUCUAAUCGUCUACACAGACAAUUUGACA
rnacentral:misc_RNA from 1 species